UACGGAGGGUGCAAGCGUUAAUCGGAAUUACUGGGCGUAAAGCGCACGCAGGCGGUUGUUUGAGUGAGAUGUGAAAUCCCCGGGCUUAACCUGGGAAUUGCAUCUGAUACUGGGAGGCUAGAGUCUUGUAGAGGGGGGUAGAAUUCCAUGUGUAGCGGUGAAAUGCGUAGAGAUGUGGAGGAAUACCGAUGGCGAAGGCGGCCCCCUGGACAAAUACUGACGCUCAUGUGCGAAAGCGUGGGUAGCAAACAGG
rnacentral:rRNA from 1 species